GGAGAAGUCGCCUAGUCCGGUCGAGGGCGCACGAUUGGAAAUCGUGUGAGCAUAACUGCUCCGAGAGUUCGAAUCUCUCCUUCUCCGCCA
rnacentral:tRNA from 1 species